rnacentral:rRNA from 1 species
AGAGUUUGAUCCUGGCUCAGGACGAACGCUGGCGGCGUGCCUAAUACAUGCAAGUCGAGCGAAUGAAGAGAGAAGCUUGCUUCUCUCGGAUUUAGCGGCGGACGGGUGAGUAACACGUGGGUAACCUACCUUAUAGUUUGGGAUAACUCCGGGAAAC